rnacentral:rRNA from 1 species
AAUCAACGCUGGCGGCGUGCCUCAGACAUGCAAGUCGAGCGCGAAAGUCCCCUUCGGGGGACAAGUAGAGUGGCGCACGGGUGAGUAACACGUAGGUAAUCUACCUUCGGAUGGGGAAUAACAACCGGAAACGGUUGCUAAUACCGCAUAAUGCAGCGGCACCUAAUGGUGACAGUUGUUAAAGCGGGGGAUUGAAAGACCUCGCGUCUGAAGAGGAGCCUGCGGCGGAUUAGCNGUUGGUAGGGUAACGGCCUACCAAGGCGACGAUCCGUAGCCGGCCUGAGAGGGCGGUCGGCCACACUGACACUGACAUACGGGUCAGACUCCUACGGGAGGCAGCAGUCGGGAAUUUUGGGCAAUGGGCGAAAGCCUGACCCAGCAACGCCGCGUGAAGG